UGAGGCAGAAGAACUCCCGGAACUACAGGGAGCAGAAGAGCCGGAAGACAUUUCGAGUAGUUUCGAAGGGGGGGCUCUAAAGAACCCUAAGAAGGCGGACAGAAGGGGGAAUGAGAGGUCAUAGGAAGCUAACUCGGAGGGAUGCAAAAAGAUAAUGACAGAAAAGAAGUCCCUAGGAGGUGAGAAGAAGGUUGGCGGUGCUGGAACUAACCUAUAUCGCUCUGAGGGACCUGAGGAACGAAAAUAGGAGACGCCUACGACUCGAGAAGACGCCCACUGAAACAGGGCUCUCGAAGAAAAGGCAAACGCUGGUAAGAACUCAGGAACGAAGUAGGGCACCUA
rnacentral:lncRNA from 1 species